AUUCAGAAAUUCCAUGCCCUCCCUCUCUAAACCCGCUCUCUCAUCCCCGCUCUCACCCCCUUCGCAUCUGAAUAGAAUGAACUGAAAAAAGAAAAUUUAUGGAAAGCGUAUACAAGCGGUGGACUAGCGGAGGCGGCAGCGAGUAUGAAACUGGCAGUAAUUCAAUGGCGAAGAUGGAGGAACAGCCGUCGUGAGGGUGGCUGGGUGCCUCUCUCUCUCCCCUUGCUAUUGCCACACACCCCAGCCAUCUUGCACACCUUCGUCUUUAUCUUUCCCUUCACGAUGGCACGGCCCUCAGCGCCCUUUUUGGCUCUGCAUCGCGCGCCGUCGUCACGUUGGGCAAUUCUUCCGAUAUGGAUGUCGUCGUCUUCGUCAACUAUUUUGGGUGAUUCAGGUAGGUUGGUUCCUAAAUCAGCAUGAAUGAGGGAUCUUUGGGCGGCGGGAAGUUUCAGCGAGAAUGUAAUUUUGAUUUGAAUGUCGAGGUGUGCGAAGAUGUAAGGAAACCUGCGGCAAUGUUGCCAAUGGGAAUGAUAUUUAUGAGGCAAAUGUCAUAUCGGGUAAGAUGGGUCAACUCCAAAGAGACAUGACAAAUCUUAAUCAAAGAUCUAUGGAAGUUGAUGAUGUUCGUAGUGAUUUGAAUGAGGUUUUCAAAGAUUCCACACCAAAGGAUGUUCCUGUAAUAUCUGGUCAUGAGGAGUCCAAAAUUUUUCAAGCAAAGUUGCAAUUACCCUCUUCUUCCCAAGAUUUAAAUUCAGAUGAUGUUUCUGUUCUUGAAGUCUUUUCUAUUUAUGCUUGUUUAAGGUUAUUCAAUACUUUAUUAUUUUUGAGUCCAUUUAAGUUGGAGGAUCUUGUAGUUGCUUUGAAGUCCAAAAUCCUAAGUAUAUUAUUUGAUAGCAUUCAUGUUUCUAUUUUGAAAACUCUGAAAAAGCAUUUGGAAUACCUUUCCAACGAGGAUAUUCAAUCUGCAUCUGAUUGUCUGAGGUAUAUAUAAUUUGAAUUUUUCUAUUAUCAUACUUGUCAAUAUGCUUUAAUUGUGUUAUCUGCAUAAGUUCUUCAUUUUUUCUAUUUUUAAUUUUUUGUGUAGAAAUCUUAAUUGAGAUUUUCUGGACAUUGUCACAUGACUUAUUUUCAUGGCCGAGUAUCUUUUGAUUCAUGGUUCAGGAUUUAAAACUAGCUUUAAUCUUAACUACUCAAAUUUCACAGCUGAGACUACUACAACCAACAUGUGAAUGGAAGAUUUGGAGUGUCGAGAGCAGAAGUCUUGUUUGUUUUUUAGAAUGGGAAUCCAACAUUGCUAUUUUCUCUGUCAUUAGUGGCUCUCACUAAUUAAUGUGUUAUCAUUAUUAUUUACUUUUAUUA